GCGCCUGUAGCUCAAUUGGAUAGAGCGUUUGACUACGGAUCAAAAGGCUGGGGAUUCGAAUUCUCUCGGGCGCGCCA
rnacentral:tRNA from 1 species